UACGGAGGAUGCGAGCGUUAUCCGGAUUUAUUGGGUUUAAAGGGUGCGUAGGCGGGCUUUUAAGUCAGCGGUAAAAAUUCGGGGCUCAACCCCGGCCCGCCGUUGAAACUGGCAGUCUCGAGUUGGAGAGAAGUAUGCGGAAUGCGCGGUGUAGCGGUGAAAUGCAUAGAUAUCGCGCAGAACUCCGAUUGCGAAGGCAGCCUGCUGGACUGUAACUGACGCUGAUGCUCGAAAGUGUGGGUAUCGAACAGG
rnacentral:rRNA from 1 species